CACAGUAAACGAUGAUGACUCGCUGUCGGCGAUAAGACAGUCGGUGGCAAAGCGAAAGCGAUAAGUCAUCCACCUGGGGAGUACGACCGCAAGGUUGAAACUCAAAGGAAUUGACGGGGGCCCGCACAAGCGGAGGAAACAUGUGGUUUAAUUCGAUGAUACGCGAGGAACCUUACCCGGGCUCGAACGGUGCAGGAAGAGAACAGGAGACUGUGACGUCCUUCGGGACCUGCAUCGAGGUGCUGCAUGGUUGUCGUCAGCUCGUGCCGUGAGGUGUCGGCUUAAGUGCCAUAACGAGCGCAACCCUUGCCAUUAGUUACCAGCACGUAAAGGUGGGGACUCUAGUGGGACUGCCACCGUAAGGUGAGAGGAAGGGGGGGAUGACGUCAAAUCAGCACGGCCCUUACGUCCGGGGCGACACACGUGUUACAAUGGUGGGUACAGAGGGCAGCUACCUGGCGACAGGAUGCAAAUCUCGAAAACCCAUCUCAGUUCAGAUCGGAGUCUGCAACUCGACUCCGUGAAGUUGGAUUCGCUAGUAAUCGCGCAUCAGCCAUGGCGCGGUGAAUACGUUCCCGGGCCUUGUACACACCGCCCGUCAAGCCAUGGAAGUCGGGUGUGCCUGAAGUCCGCGACCGAAAGGAACGGCCUAAGGCAAAACUGAUAACUGGGGCUAAGUCGUAA
rnacentral:rRNA from 1 species